GUASGAGGCGAGCGUUAUCCGGAUUCACUGGGCGUAAAGCGCGUGCAGGCGGUUUGGUAAGUUGGGCGUGAAAGCUCCCGGCUCAACUGGGAGAGGUCGUUCAAUACUACCAAACUAGAGAGUAGAAGAGGAAGAUGGAAUUCCCGGUGUAGUGGUGAAAUGCGUAGAUAUCGGGAGGAACACCAGUGGCGAAGGCGAUCUUCUGGUCUAUUUCUGACGCUCAGACGCGACAGCUAGGGUAGUAAACGGGAUUAGAGACCCCGGUAAUCCUAGCCGUAAACGAUGUGAACUUGGCGUCGGUGGCUUAAACACCAUCGGUGCCGAAGCAAACGCGAUAAGUUYAYYGCCUGGGGACUACGGCCGCAAGGUUA
rnacentral:rRNA from 1 species